UACGUAGGGUGCAAGCGUUAAUCGGAAUUACUGGGCGUAAAGCGUGCGCAGGCGGUGAUGUAAGACAGUUGUGAAAUCCCCAGGCUCAACCUGGGAACUGCGUCUGAUACUGGAUGGCUUGAAUCCGGGAGAGGGAUGCAGAAUUCCAGGUGUAGCGGUGAAAUGCGUAGAUAUCUGGAGGAAUACCGGUGGCGAAGGCGGCAUCCUGGACCGGCAUUGACGCUGAGGAGCGAAAGCCAGGGGAGCAAACGGG
rnacentral:rRNA from 1 species